GGCCGGUUGGCCCAAUGGUAAGGCGUCUGACUACGAUCAUCCUCUUAGAGGUUGGAGUUAAUCAGGAGAUUCUGGGUUCGAGCCCCAGGCUGGUCA
rfam:Tstilago maydis 521 chromosome 17, whole genome shotgun sequence.